rnacentral:rRNA from 1 species
UACGUAGGGGGCUAGCGUUAUCCGGAAUUACUGGGCGUAAAGGGUGCGUAGGUGGUUUCUUAAGUCAGAGGUGAAAGGCUACGGCUCAACCGUAGUAAGCCUUUGAAACUGGGGAACUUGAGUGCAGGAGAGGAGAGUGGAAUUCCUAGUGUAGCGGUGAAAUGCGUAGAUAUUAGGAAGAACACCAGUGGCGAAGGCGAUUCUCUGGACUGUAACUGACGCUGAGGCUCGAAAGCGUGGGGAGCAAACAGG